UAGGGAAUCUUCGGCAAUGGACGAAAGUCUGACCGAGCAACGCCGCGUGAGUGAAGAAGGUUUUCGGAUCGUAAAACUCUGUUGUUAGAGAAGAACAAGGACGUUAGUAACUGAACGUCCCCUGACGGUAUCUAACCAGAAAGCCACGGCUAACUACGUGCCAGCAGCCGCGGUAAUACGUAGGUGGCAAGCGUUGUCCGGAUUUAUUGGGCGUAAAGCGAGCGCAGGCGGUUUCUUAAGUCUGAUGUGAAAGCCCCCGGCUAAACCGGGGAGGGUCAUUGGAAACUGAGAGACUUGAGUGCAGAAGAGGAGAGUGGAAUUCCGUGUGUAGCGGUGAAAUGCGUAGAUAUAUGGAGGAACACCAGUGGCGAAGGCGGCUCUCUGGUCUGUAACUGACGCUGAGGCUCGAAAGCGUGGGGAGCAAACAGG
rnacentral:rRNA from 1 species